rnacentral:rRNA from 1 species
UACGUAGGGCGCAAGCGUUGUCCGGAAUUAUUGGGCGUAAAGAGCUCGUAGGUGGUUUUGUCGCGUUGUCCGUGAAAACUCACAACUCAAUUGUGGGCGUGCGGGCGAUACGGGCAGACUGGAGUACUGCAGGGGGAGACUGGAAUUCCUGGUGUAGCGGUGGAAUGCGCAGAUAUCAGGUGGAACACCGGUGGCGAAGGCGGGUGCUCGUGGGCCAGUACUGACGCUGAGGAGCGAAAGCGUGGGGAGCAAACAGG